GGGGGUGUAGCUCAUCUGGUAGAGCGCGUGCUUAGCAUCCAUCUAGAGGGUUAUCAUCGUCUUAGAUACAUGUUACCUGCACGAGGUACUGGGUUCGACUCCCAGCUCCUCCA